UACGUAGGGGGCAAGCGUUGUCCGGAUUUACUGGGCGUAAAGAGCGUGUAGGCGGCCACGCAGGUCCGUUGUGAAAACUGGAGGCUCAACCUCCAGCUGUCGACGGAAACCGUGUGGCUAGAGUCCGGAAGAGGAGAGUGGAAUUCCUGGUGUAGCGGUGGAAUGCGCAGAUAUCAGGAGGAACACCGAUGGCGAAGGCAGAUCUCUGGGCCGUGAACUGACGCUGAGGAGCGAAAGCGUGGGGAGCGAACAGG
rnacentral:rRNA from 1 species